rnacentral:rRNA from 1 species
AUUGAACGCUGGCGGCAGGCCUAACACAUGCAAGUCGAACGAGUGGCGGAAGGGUGAGUAAGGUCUGGGCAACUGCCUGAUGGAGGGGGCAAACUACUGGAAACGGUAGCUAAUACCGCAUACCAUCAGAUCUGCCCAGACGGGGUUAGCUAGUGGGGGGGGUAACGGCUCACCAAGGCUACGAUCCCUACCUGGUCUGAGAGGAUGACCAUCCACACUGGAACGAAGACAUGGCCAAGUCUCCUCCGGGAGGGGGAGGUGGGUGAUGUUGCAGAAUGGGCGGAAGCUUUAGGUGGCCAUGCCUGUGAUAUGAAAAAGGCCUUUGGGUUGAAAAGUACUUUCAGCGGGAAGGGGUUUCCCUCAGAAGAAGCACCGGCUAACACCGUGCCAGCCGCCGGGUAAUUC